rnacentral:misc_RNA from 1 species
GCCGAUCAAUGUUAUUGGGAACACUCGACAAAGGUAGUAGUCACUCACGUUCUAGAGCAUCAUCGUUGUUCAAAAAUUUACCACGUGGCUCCUCAGGUCUGUUGUUCCUACAUACUUGUCCAGGAUGGGUAGCUUGAACUUUGGUGGGAACUGCUCAACUAGGAAUAGUUCGAACAAUGGAGACUCAUCCUUAAUUCUUAAAUUUUCUUCCUCCACCUGCUUCUGGUACCUCUGAACAGCUUUCACCAAGUACUAGUUCACUUUUGGUUGUGGUGAUUCAUCAAAAAGUUCUUCUUAUUCGUCCAUCCCUGUCUGCUCUGUCUUUAUCCCUAUGUUGUUGAUUGAUCGAGUAACCUCGACCUAUUCCUCUAGGUUGAGCUGGAUUG